GGGGAAUUUUCCGCAAUGGGCGAAAGCCUGACGGAGCAAUACCGCGUGCGGGACGAAGGCUUUUGGGUCGUAAACCGCUUUUGUUAGGGAAGAACACAAUGACGGUACCUAACGAAUCAGCAUCGGCUAACUCCGUGCCAGCAGCCGCGGUAAUACGGAGGAUGCAAGCGUUAUCCGGAAUUAUUGGGCGUAAAGCGUCCGCAGGUGGUUUAUCAAGUCUGCUGUUAAAUCGUAGGGCUUAACCCUAUAAAGGCAGUGGAAACUGAGAGACUAGAGUACGGUAGGGGCAGCGGGAAUUCCCAGUGUAGCGGUGAAAUGCGUAGAUAUUGGGAAGAACACCAGCGGCGAAGGCGCGCUACUGGGCCGAAACUGACACUCAUGGACGAAAGCUAGGGGAGCGAAAGGGAUUAGAUACCCCUGUAGUCCUAGCUGUAAACGAUGACAACUAGGUGUUGCGCGUAUCGACCCGUGCAGUGCCGUAGCUAACGCGUUAAGUUGUC
rnacentral:rRNA from 1 species